UCCACUGCUCGCAUGCCGCUGUGGGAGACAACAGAACCUCCAGAAUUACCCAAAGUGUACUCAAGAGCCACAGCCUGCAAGCACUCCCUCAAACCCUCGCCCCCGGAAAGAUGGUGUCAAGUUUGAGCAGAGGGUUCCGGUGGGUUGUUUUUCUUCGCAAGAGUCCUGGACCCGUUUGUGUGCGCGAGAGCCUUCUUGAGUUAGGGAGUCCUUCCUUUGCGUGACGGCGGGCUUUCGAGGAUCCCGGGGCAUCGUGGACACGCAGCACGGACCAGCACCAGGAAGCCCCUUCAAACGUGUGGAGCGUUUACGAAGAGCUGGCCUUUGGAAAGACCCAGGAGUGGGACGAGCAUCCCAGGAGUGGGAAGCGCAUCCCAGGGUCCUAACCGGAAGACGCAGGCGCGACACCCGACAAAGCCCGCUGCUUCCAGCGCCAGCUGGCUGGGAAACUCUUUCGGCACCCACCCACCCCCCACCCCUGCUCGCGAGAGCCGUUCGCGCCCGUUAAGCGCCACUACUCGCGAGAAUUCCGCUACGCAGCAAUAGCGGGACUGUGAGUGCCGCUGACAGAACUCAAGGAAAACGGGCUGGAACAGGUUUGGUCCGAGAUCGGGCUACUGGGGUCCCUCCGAGACACUUUUCCCUGGAGGGCGUGACAGCUGGGGUCAUGAAGCCACUCCGGGGGCCGGACGGCCGCCAGCGACCAAGCUCCCGCCUCUUCCCCAGAUGCCGCGCCACUGCUCGGCCGCCGGCUGCUGCACACGGGAAACGCGCGAGACGCGCAACCGCGGCAUCUCUUUCCACAGACUUCCCAAGAAGGACAAUCCGAGGCGUAGCCUGUGGCUGGCCAACUGUCAGCGGCUGGACCCCAGCGGCCAGGGCCUGUGGGACCCUGCCUCUGAGUACAUCUACUUCUGCUCCAAACAUUUUGAGGAGAACUGCUUUGGGCUGGUGGGAAUCAGGUGGGCUUCCUUGCCAGCCAGCAUUGGGCAGGGUGUGGGGUGUCAGCAUAGUAUACAGCGGGGCAGCUGUGUCUUGAAGAGGCAGUCCCUGAGCAGCUGCCCUGAGGACAGCUUGCCAGGUGGACAGGCAGCCAUGGUUCCAAAAGUGCUGCUUUCCCUUCCCCUUUGUGUACAGUAAAGCGCACUCCCAGUUUCACUUUGCCAGUAACACCAGAGAAAAACAGCUGUUCCAGGGAGUGUUCCUCACCCAGGCCUCCCAGCAAGCCCACAAAAAGAAUUCUUUUUGGCUGGUCUGUCCAGCCCUGUUGGUGGAGCUGCUUCAUCCAUCUCAGCUUUAAGAGAUUGGUGGGAUUCUGCCUCACGUGGCAUUUUCUCAAACUUGUUUAUUAUGUGCCUUCCAGCCUGCCACAACCCCAGUACUAGGGAAGCUGUAUUGGGUACCAGAGGGAGAUGGCCCAAGUGGCAGCACUUGUUCUUCAGCUCAUUAGGGCUGCUUUUCCCCCACAGUGGCUAUCACAGGCUGAAGGAAGGGGCAGUUCCCACCAUAUCUGAGUCUUUUUCCAAAUUGCACUGGAUAACCAAGACCAAGGGGCCCAGUUUUCCAAGCGGCCCCCAGAGUUACCUGAUUUGAGAAUGGAAGAAGUGGUAUGUGAUGGGUGCAGUAGUUCCUGCCUAUAAUCACUGCAGUUCAUUAGGCUAAGGCAGGAGGAGUCCAAGUUCAAAGCUAUUCUCAGCAAUUUAACAAGGCCCUAUAUUAAAAAAUAAAAAUGCAUUCAGUGUAAAAUAGAAUAUUCUUGAAUUGUUGGUGAGAAUAAAGUGAGCCCCAAGUAUCUUAAGAGAAUUUUAAAAAAUGCCUGGGGAUGUUGUUCAGUGGUUAAAUGGUUAAGCACCCCUGUAUUCAAUCCCUGGUACAAAAUAUAUAUAAAUAUAUGUGUGUGUGUGUGUGUAUAUAUAUAUAUAUAUAUAUAUCCGAAACAGUAUAUUCUGUGGGUCAGAGAUUCCCUCCACUUACUCCCAUCUCAUGACAGAAAGAGGGCUUUAUGGUAUCUACCCAGAUGUGGUUUUUAUUAUACUAAUUUUCUGAUGGGGUUCAUGUAUUAGGUCAGUGCUGUGAAAUGUGGUCUGUUGGUCUCUUUUUCUCUUCUCUCCAGCUGCUUUGAAGGGCUCUGCAGCUCCAUUCUGUAACUCCUCCUGCUGAUGUCACCUGCUUUCCUGUAAAAAAAAAGCCUCAGAACCUGCCACUUUUUCUUUCACAGGAUCUGAGAGCCUCUUCCCAGAUUUUCUAGGUUCUCUAGAUGCCCAGCCCUUACCAGAACAGUAGCAUCCCUCUCUCAAGCCUUAUCCUAUCUCCCCUUCAACUUUCUUGCCAUACCUCCAUCAGAGCCUAUGUUCUAAAUGACCAGUUGCCAGGUAGGCAAUAUUCUGUAGAAGGUCCAGUGCCAGCUCCAGGCUUGCAGGCAGAGAAGCAGUGCUGCAGCUGACAAACCUGCAUCAGAAGCUGGCACAGGCAGAUAUCCGCCAGACUCUGAAGGAGCAUGUGUAGAACUUUGCUGUGCAGAUGAGUAGCAGCAUGAUCUGAAGGAGGAUCCAGCCAUCAAGGCUGAAGUUUCUAACAUCCUUAUUUAUCUGUCUACCAAGCACAGGAUCAGAAUUGGACCUAUGUGAUCCACCAGAUACCAUAUAAAAGUAGAUUCUAGAAGGCUGUCUUGCUAUCUGGCUCACUUCAGGGUUCGAACCUUGUUCCCACCAGACAGUGUUGGCAGUCCCCAGAGAGACCCAAAAUGAUUGGCUAUGGGGAGCUGAGAUCCUGGUUCCUAAUUUUUAAGAUUUUUUUUUUUAGUUGCAGAUGGACACAAUGCCUUUAUUUUAAUUUAUUCAUUGUUGCAAGCGAGCCAUGGACUGUGUGAGCUAUGAGCAUUCGAGUGGAUGGGAGGACUGGCCUGGUGUUAUAUGCUCUUUGGGCUGUGCAACACACAUAUGCACUUUCCUCUCUCCGUGCCUGUGACUAGCCAAGAUGUCAAUCUGCUGACCAUAAGACAUCAGGAAGCUAGACUCAAUCCUCUGAAACCUGCCCCUUGCCUUAUUUGGAAAGAACAUUCCAUGGAACUUCCUUCUGUGUGCCGCCCCCCCCCCCCAUUAAAAUAAAGAAUCUAGGUGCAAGUUCUCUCUUUCCAACAGACCCUUAAGGUCGAGAACUGUCCCUGAGUCCUGCAGGCAAAAUGUA